rnacentral:tRNA from 1 species
GUAGAUUUAGUUUAGUAAAAUAUUAGAUUGUGAUUCUAAUGACAGAGGUUAAAAUCCUUUAAUCCACC